GUAGUAUUCCCUCCGUCCCAAAAUUCUUGUCUUACAUUUGUUUAGAUACAGAUGUAUCUAACUAGAUACAUCCGUAUCUAAACAAAUGUAAGACAAGAAUUUUGGGACGGAGAGAGUACAAA
rfam:Triticum aestivum genome assembly, contig: Triticum_aestivum_CS42_TGACv1_scaffold_643747_T_2BS-0.072526_6BS-0.037616